CGUCGACAUAGCGUUUGAUCCUGGCUCAGAUUGAACGCUGGCGGCAGGCCUAACACAUGCAAGUCGAGCGGAUGAUGGGAGCUUGCUCCCGGAUUCAGCGGCGGACGGGUGAGUAAUGCCUAGGAAUCUGCCUGGUAGUGGGGGACAACGUUUCGAAAGGAACGCUAAUACCGCAUACGUCCUACGGGAGAAAGCAGGGGACCUUCGGGCCUUGCGCUAUCAGAUGAGCCUAGGUCGGAUUAGCUAGUUGGUGGGGUAAAGGCCUACCAAGGCGACGAUCCGUAACUGGUCUGAGAGGAUGAUCAGUCACACUGGAACUGAGACACGGUCCAGACUCCUACGGGAGGCAGCAGUGGGGAAUAUUGGACAAUGGGCGAAAGCCUGAUCCAGCCAUGCCGCGUGUGUGAAGAAGGUCUUCGGGUUGUAAAGCACUUUAAGUUGGGAGGAAGGGCAGUAAGUUAAUACCUUGCUGUUUUGACGUUACCAACAGAAUAAGCACCGGCUAACUUCGUGCCAGCAGCCGCGGUAAUACGAAGGGUGCAAGCGUUAAUCGGAAUUACUGGGCGUAAAGCGCGCGUAAGUGGUUUGGUAAGAUGGAUGUGAAAUCCCCGGGCUCAACCUGGGAACUGCAUCCAUAACUGCCUGA
rnacentral:rRNA from 1 species